AUGCGGCGGUGCCGGGACGCAGGGCUGGCGGGGCUGGCCGCGCUGCUCCUGGUGACUGUGGGAAGAGCCCAGGUGCAGCAGGACCCAUGGGCAGAGGCCACCGAGGGCACGGGCAUCGGCAUCAACUGCUCAAACCCCGAGGUACAGUCAAACGAAUCAUCUGCUGGUACCAUCAGCUCCCGGGCCGAGGCCUCGAACUCCUCGAGAACAGUCUUAAAGGAUCCAAAGAGCUGCGGGACCCAUCAGGGCGGCUGUCGGUGGCAGAAGACCAGCGGUCCAGCACCCUGUGGCUCUCACGGCCCGGGCGCGGAGACGGGGCGGUGUAUUACUGCGCCCUGGAAGACACGGGGAGAGGAGCCAGGGCUGCGGCCGGCAAGAACCGCUGCGGGCGGGCGCGGGCGUGUGUGUCAGGGGCGCAAGGGACAGCACCGGCCGGGCCCGCCAGGCGGCGCUGCCGCCCCGUCGGCCGGGGCCGCCUCGCCCCGCCCAGCCCCGCGCUGGUUCCCCCGCCCGCCCAGCACCGGCACCGGCAACGGCACUGA